rnacentral:rRNA from 1 species
GGUGUAGGUGGCUUUGUAAGUCAGAUGUGAAAGCCCAGGGCUUAACCCUGGAAGUGCAUUUGAUACUGCGAAGCUUGAGUGCCGGAGAGGUUAUUAGAAUUCCUGGUGUAGUGGUGAAAUACGUAGAUAUCAGGAGGAAUACCGGAGGCGAAGGCGGAUAACUGGCCGGACACUGACACUGAGACCCGAAAGCGUGGGGAUCAAACA